CUGCUGCGAGGAGCUGCGUUGUCGUCCGACUGCGACGAGCGGCGACGACGUGUAAUCCAUUUUCAUCGACGUAAUCACCACGUCACAAAAAAAAAAGAGAAAAAAAACAACCAGCUCUCGCGACCGCGGCACACAAUGUAUCGUUCGCGAACACUCGGCCCGAACACUCCGCGUAGCCAGGGUCGACCUUGGCGACACUUCGAGGCGACGAGUCUCGUCGAGGAUUAAGCCAGGAUUGUUAGACGAGUGCGCGCGAUCGUCUUAACGAGUAAAUACGUCGUUAAUCCCGGAUACGAAUCGCAGACCCACCGCGAUCGCACCAUUUUGUACAAGACACUCCGCGCAAUCGGACCGCUUGAACGCGGCUGGCGACUGCCCACGAACGCCGGCGAACUCGCCCGAAGAGUCACGAGGUGGCGCGAGCGCGCCCGAAGCGCGCGGCGCGCAACGACCCGAUCUCGAAUAGCUGUAAGCUAAAAAUCGCAAGCUUUAUCGGAAGUUUCGUUGAACGAGAGGGAUCUCUCUUCCCGUUAUUUGUUACAAUCGACAAGUUUGAAUCUUGCCAUUGCGCGACUGUAUAAAAUUUGAGCAGCAAUUUCAGUGCGUAUUUAUCACGUAGUCGUACAGAGAAUUACAAGUGAUUUCGUUUUGAAUUUAAAAAAAUAGAUUGCUUCGUAAUGAUUAAAUUUCCGGAACAAGACGAGUGUCAGGAAUAUUUAAACGAACGACGGACAUAAAAUUUGUCAGUUAGAUUAUCGAAGUGAGCAUUUCUUUUUUGUGUGUUUCUUCUCGUUUGUGUGACUCAAAUAUUAUGUUUGUAUGAAUCGUUGCCAAGAUGAAGAGAGAGAAAAAGUAUCUCGUAAGGAAUCGUAAGGAUUUAGCGAUCAGACUGAUAAGAGAACAGUGAACAGUGACAGAACAGUGAACUCGCAGAAUUCGCACGCAACCAUGAUUCGAUACAGGAUGAAAAAGAAGGAUAAAGUCUUAAAAUCCACGAGUACAAUAAUUAAUUUGUACUCACAAGAGCUGGCCAGGCAACGGUGUCGGCGACUGCCGUGGCGCCUCUGAGCGGUUUCCCGUUAAUGCGGUGCUGAUGGUGGUUAUUGUUCGCGUGAUUGUGAUGAUCGAUGGGGAUGAGACUGGCG